rnacentral:rRNA from 1 species
AUUGAACGCUGGCGGAAUGCUUUACACAUGCAAGUCGAACGGCAGCACGGGUGCUUGCACCUGGUGGCGAGUGGCGAACGGGUGAGUAAUAUAUCGGAACGUGUCCAAUAAUGGGGGAUAACAUAUCGAAAGAUGUGCUAAUACCGCAUACGCCCUACGGGGGAAAGCUGGGGACCGUAAGACCUAGCGUUGAUGGAGCGGCCGAUAUCGGAUUAGCUAGUUGGUGGGGUAAAGGCUCACCAAGGCGACGAUCCAUAGCUGGUCUGAGAGGACGACAAGCCACACGGGAACUGAGACACGGUCCAGACUCCUACGGGAGGCAGCAGUGGGGAAUUUUGGACAAUGGGGGCAACCCUGAUCCAGCCAUUCCGCGUGAGUGAAGAAGGCCUUCGGGUUGUAAAGCUCUUUCGCAAGGGAAGAAAACUUACAUUCUAAUAAAGUGUGAGGUUGACGGUACCUUGAUAAGAAGCACCGGCUAACUACGUGCCAGCCGCCGCCGUAACAC